AGCGAACGCUGGCGGCAGGCCUAACACAUGCAAGUCGAACGAACUCUUCGGAGUUAGUGGCGGACGGGUGAGUAACACGUGGUAACGUGCCUUUAGGUUCGGAAUAACUCAAGGAAACGUGUGCUAAUACCGAAUGUGCCCUUCGGGGGAAAGAUUUAUCGCCUUUAGAUCGGCCCGCGUUGGAUUAGCUAGUUGGUGAGAUAAAGGCUCACCAAGGCGACUAUCAGUAGCUGGUCUGAGAGGAUGAUCAGCCACAUUGGGACUGAGACACGGCCCAAACUCCUACGGGAGGCAGCAGUGGGGAAUCGUGCGAAAUGGGCGAAAGCCUGACGAAGCCAUGCCGCGUGAAUGAUGAGGGUCUUAGGAUUGUAAAAUUCUUUCACCGGGGACGAUAAUGACGGUACCCGGAGAAGAAGCCCCGGCUAACUUCGUGCCAGCCGCCGCAGUAA
rnacentral:rRNA from 1 species